CAGCAAAAACACCCCCCACAGUCACAAAAUGUGCCUGUCAUCACGAGGGAAGAGUGUAUAUGCCAGGUCAGGAAAUAGCAAGAAGUGACAGUAGAGAAAAGGAUGGAAAAUGCUAUAGCUAUGUAUGUGACAGCACAUGUAAGAAAACAUCCCGAAUUGAGAAACCAUGUAUACAUACACCACCAACAGCACCACCAAAAACACCCCCUACAGUCACAGUCACAAAAUGUGCCUGUCAUCACGAGGGAAGAGUGUAUAUGCCAGGU